rnacentral:rRNA from 1 species
UGUGGUCAAGUUUCUAAGAGCAAACGGUGGAUGCCUUGGCAUCUGGAGCCGAAGAAGGACGUAGAAAUCUGCGAUAAGCCUCGGGGAGCUGAUAAUCGAGCCCUGAUCCGAGGAUUUCCGAAUGGGGAAACCCCGCCAGGCGUUAUGUCUGGUGACUCCCGCCUGAAUAUAUAGGGCGGGUAGAGGGAACGUGGGGAAGUGAAACAUCUCAGUACCCACAGGAAGAGAAAACAACAGUGAUUCCGUCAGUAGUGGCGAGCGAAAUCGGAAGAGGCUAAACCGGUCAUGUGUGAUAGACGGCGGUCGUUGCAUGGUCGGGGUUGUGGGACCCGUUGUCCUGUUCUGCCGGACAGGGACAGUUACAGCGCAGUAUAGGCGAACAGCUUUGAAUGGCUGGUCAUAGAGGGUGCGAACCCCGUAGCCGAAAUGCUGGCGCUGGCUGAAUGGGGAUCCCAAGUAGCUCGGGGCCCGAGAAAUCCCGUGUGAAUCUGUCAGGACCACCUGAUAAGCCUAAAUACUCCCAGAUGACCGAUAGCGGACAAGUACCGUGAGGGAAAGGUGAAAAGUACCCCGGGAGGGGAGUGAAAUAGUACCUGAAACCGUUUGCUUACAAACCGUUGGAGCCUCCUUGUAGGGGUGACAGCGUGCCUUUUGAAGAAUGAGCCUGCGAGUUAGCGAUAUGUGGCGAGGUUAACCCGUGUGGGGUAGCCGUAGCGAAAGCGAGUCUUAAUAGGGCGAUCCAGUCGCAUGUCCUAGACCCGAAGCGAAGUGAUCUAUCCAUGGCCAGGUUGAAGCGACGGUAAGACGUCGUGGAGGACCGAACCCACUUAGGUUGAAAACUGAGGGGAUGAGCUGUGGAUAGGGGUGAAAGGCCAAUCAAACUUCGUGAUAGCUGGUUCUCUCCGAAAUGCAUUUAGGUGCAGCGUUGCGUGUUUCUUGCCGGAGGUAGAGCUACUGGAUGGCCGAUGGGGCCCAAAAGCUUACUGACGUCAGCCAAACUCCGAAUGCCGGUAAGUGAGAGCGCAGCAGUGAGACGGUGGGGGAUAAGCUUCAUCGUCGAGAGGGAAACAACCCAGACUACCAACUAAGGUCCCUAAGCGUGUGCUAAGUGGGAAAGGAUGUGGAGUUGCAUAGACAACCAGGAGGUUGGCUUAGAAGCAGCCACCCUUGAAAGAGUGCGUAAUAGCUCACUGGUCAAGUGAUUCCGCGCCGACAAUGUAACGGGGCUCAAGCACACCACCGAAGUUGUAGAUUUCGUAUUAUAG